rnacentral:rRNA from 1 species
CGUAGGGUGCGAGCGUUGUCCGGAAUUACUGGGCGUAAAGAGCUCGUAGGUGGUUUGUCGCGUCGUCUGUGAAAUUCCGGGGCUUAACUCCGGGCGUGCAGGCGAUACGGGCAUAACUUGAGUACUGUAGGGGAGACUGGAAUUCCUGGUGUAGCGGUGAAAUGCGCAGAUAUCAGGAGGAACACCGGUGGCGAAGGCGGGUCUCUGGGCAGUAACUGACGCUGAGGAGCGAAAGCAUGGGGAGCGAACAGGA